ensembl:lncRNA
CCGUGCGGGGAGGGCAGGGACCCGGUACGGGGCGGGCAGGGCGGGGCCACUCUGGUUGGCUGCGUCCCGCUCACUGUCCGGCCCAUUUUAAACUUGGUCGGCCCGGGCGUCUUCCCUUUUCUGCAGCGGCGCGCUCCUGGUAAGUCGUGCUUGUCUCGCGGAAUACGGGCCCCGCCACGUGGCCUCGGGGAGCCCACGGUGCCAGCCCCGCGCGCGGGUCCCCGCCAGGUGCCGGCCCCUUGGUGUGGGGCCGAGGCUCGGCCUCGCACUGCCCGGAUUUGUCUUCUCCAGGGUGGAGGCGCAGAGUCCUUGGCCCACCCGGGGCUCCUGCCCGCCCAGUAGUCUGGCGACGGGGACAUUGCCUAUUUAGGAAGCGAAUGAGAUCAGAGCUCAAGAGUAGCAGGAUAAUUCCAGUGUUAGCAAGGAGCAGAGGUAAUUUCGCCCACGCAGCUGCGUCCUCGCCACAAGUGUCCUUCAAAUGCCACUUUGUACAGUUUUUUUUAACGUUUGAGGGUGCUUCCGAGAGCCGAUGUCUGCAAGCAAGUCAAGCAGAGCGCUCUGGGCCCACAGUGGCCGGAUUAGCCACGUUUUAUGCCGCCCAGCCUUCCCCUGAUACAAAUUGGGUCUGCCUGGAUUUUAUGUUCUGGGAGAAUCUGAGCCGCUGGGUUCACACUUGUACAAGGCAUCAGACACCUAACUCCUGUGUUCCUAAGACUGGACACAGGCCCGCCUGCUCACUAUUGCUUUAACAUUUGUGAAGAUCUAGAUUUAGACGAGAGUGAAAGAAGGAAGGCGUCACUUGGUUUUCUAUUGGGAGGCGAUCUUUGUUUGGUGCUGUAUGCUGCGCCCAGGAUGUUAAUGAAUACAAGCUCCGAUGCUUGAGAUGAAGUGGUGCAACUUGGAGGAGAAAAGUUUUUCUUUUUCAGGGAAAAGCCAGUGACAUUACCUGACGGUGGUGAGUACACCAGGCACCUGACAGUUUCCUCAGGUCUACCAUCACAUAUCAGCCUGACCUGAUUUGACCCCUUACCAACCCUGCUCAGUUAGAAAAAGAUUGUCCCCUUAUGCACUGUUGCAAAGUAGCCCUCUCAUGGCCACAUGGCUGCCUGAACUUAACCUGGGCAGAUAGUUGUUAGGAAAUAGAAACAGAACCCCAAACAUUUCUCAUUCCUCCCUAAAUGGCCAACUGUCAGGGGACCAUCAUAAAUGCAGCCUGGCUAUAUCAGGUGCAGACCCCUCCUGGGAGCCUGGCUGGGGCUUCUGUUUUUUUGUCCAUAAACGAAAAAAACAAAUCUGCCCUAAACCUUCAAAGUCCCUAGAAAACCUAACCUUUCCCUAGCCAGGAUGCUGCUCUGCUCUGGUGGCAGGCCUACGGCUGGUUUCAAAUAAACUUUUCCUGUCUGGAGUGGUCUUGUUCUGUGGUUUCAUUAUGCCAACAUACAAGUUCCUCGGGAUUGGAUGCCUUUUUCUGCGCCUCCCCCACGACAGGCAUGCUUGAGGUGCAUAUACAUAAAGGCAAAACACUGAUAAACAGAUAUUUAAUAUGCGUAACUUUUGUCUGCAUAUACGACUAGUACUGUCAGAGGUCAGAGGGUGUUAGAGACCCUGGAACUGGAGUCAGAGAUUGUUAGCCACCUGUGGGUGCUGGGAACCAAAUCCGGGUCUUCUGGAAGAACAGUUAGCUAUCUGCUGAGCCAUCUCUCCAGCCCCACUGGAGGGUCUUUAAAACUAUAUUAGAUAAAUCGGGAAACACUUGUGUCUUGUGGUAGAGAAAACUGCGCUCUGUAUGAGUGCCCCACAUCCAUUUGGCCAUGUAAAGUGGGGUUGGUUAACCAACAUGUAUGAACAUGUCAAAAGGGAUAUAAUUUUACUUAGAUUUUGGGCCAUAAGAAAGAUGGGCAGAAGUGGCACAUGUCUUUAAAACCACCACUUGAGAGGUAGAGGCAGGCAGAUAUCCAUGAGUUCAAGACCAGCCUAGUCUACAACAGCUAGUUCCAGGACAGCCUCCAAAGUCACAGAGAAACCCUGUCUCCAAAACACACCCCCUCCCCCCAAAAAAGAUUCAAUUGUGAGGAAUUAAUACCUAGUUAUGCAGUUUCCACCACAUUCCCACAAUAGCUCAAUGGUUUAUCAACAAAUACUAAACAGUACAGUAAUUAGAGGGAAUGAAAGCCCAGCAAGAAGACUACAGGGAAAUCACAAUUAGAUUUCAUGUCAUCAGCUGGAGCCUAUUUGGCUCUGAGCUCCCUAACAGCAAAGCUCAAAUGGCUGUGAUGAUGGAGCAUCAUUUCAAAGCAGAAGAGGGCAGUAGCCAAUCUACGCUCCAGGCUUCGCAAGAGGUGCUUUUCCCUGUAAUCUCAGCACUGGGUAACUAAAGGCCUAUCUAGAGAAAGUGGAGAUGGCUGCAUUUGGCUCCAGAGAAGGCCAGAAGUCAAAGGCUUGUAGGAAGCCUGAGUCCACUCAGCUGAAGGCAAGCUAACAUGAGAAAGGAAGGGAAAGCGUGGGACUGAACAGGAACAGUCGGGUGUGCCUGAAAAGUGCUUUCAUCCAGUAGUCAGGAAGAUUGCUUUUGCAUAUUUACCUUGUAUUUAUAAUCUGAAGAGUUCUGAGCCCAGUAUUCUGUGAUACAGUUGUGGUUUAUCAAAGCUCACAGAACCAAUGUUAAACAGCCUCCCGAUGGAGCUCACUGUAACUGCAAGGAGUCAAAAGUCCUGGCCCUCCACCACUGACAUCUGCAUCCCCAGGACUCCAGUCUGUUUCAGAGACAAAGAGAUCAAACUCAGAAAUGUUUGGUGUGUGUCACCUUGAUUUGUUUCUGGGAACAGAACGAAGCAUAACACCAUUAAUCCUGAACAGGCCCCCUGGCCUGUUCUCCAUGAUCUAAGUACCCAUUGUGUCGGGCAUCGGCCUCCCAUGGUAGCACUUGGGAAAUCAUAUUUUGAAACUAUUCUGAUAUGGCACCUACCAUGCAUGCUUGACUAUUCAAUACUUGAAACGUGGCUGGCACAUCAGGUGUGUACUGUGUUUUAGAAAUCAGAUGUGAGGAAUGUGGACACUAAAGAUUUCAAUUUUACAGUGAUUGUCAUUGGAUUGAAUGAAACAUUUGAAAUUAUGCAAGUAUGAUUGUAUUUCUGUUGAACAAUACCGGUCUAAUAUGCAAAGCAAAAAAUAAGUAGUGGCCCACAGUGUGAUAGAAUGAUGUUACUGUUCUACCACAGAGAAGAACCUCAAGGAACGGUAAGUUAGCACUUAAGACAGAGGAUUUGCAGGGAAGCAGCUAUCUUUUGAGAGGCGAAGGAGCCAGUACUGCUUGGCACAAAUCAUUUCAUGCAGCUUGUAGUCCUGGAGAUGUUAAAUAAGACUUAAGUAUAUUUGUUAAACAAUCUUUUGCCCACCCAGUCUGCAUAAACAUUUGCAUGCUUGUUAGGGAAAUCAAGAGCCAACAUUUAAUGUCUGAUGCUGUAUGAAAGUGCAAGCUUCCCUACUGAAAAACAAAUGCUGAAUCGUUCUGGUUCCUUCAUUUACUUGUCUGUGUUUGUGUCUGUGUGUCUGUGUAGUAAUGUAGUCUUCCAGGCAUUUUUACAGAAGGAGGGAAAUUGGGGGGAGGUGGUACAUAAAUAUCACCCGGACUUGUAGAAAGGUUUUUGUUGUUUAUUUUAAGGCCUUAAGUUAAGCAAAAUGCUUCACAAAAUUCUCUUUCUCUCAUUUUCACUCAACUACUCCAAAAAGCAGUCUUGUGAAGAUUCCCUUUUGUAGUUUUCUUGCUACUAAUGACAUUUGUUUUCUUCAGGAAGAUGGUAGGAAUUAGACCCCAAGGCUCAGGCAUGCUAUUCCAAUCAGGCAUGGUGGUGCAUCUUUAAUCCCAGCACUUGAAGGAAGAGGCAGGUGGAUCUCUGUAAAUUCAAGGCCAGCCUAGUCUACAGUGAGCUCCAGGACAGCCAGGAUUACACAGGGAAACCCUGUCUUGAACCACUGCCCCUUCCUGCAAAGUGAUUUCCCAUGGAGUUAUACUUAAUUGGAGAAACACUUGGUAAUAUCUAGAGGCAUUUGAUUUUCAUAACUGGGUAAGGGAUGAGCAUUUAGUGGGUAGUGACCAUAGGUGUUACAACAUAUCCUACCUGGGUGGUCCCUACAACAAAGGACGGUCUGACCCAAGAUGUCAAUAGUGCAGAAGUUGGUAAAUGCAGUUUUAGAAAAUGUUGCUCCCCACCCACCUGCCUAGGUGCUGAUGUUACAGGUCACUCCUGCCACACAAAGAGGUUCCCUAAAGUAUGAAUCCUAAGGGGCUUUAUUGCUAGCCCUAUUGCUUUCACUUCCAGAUGAUCUUAUAUAACACAUAAAACUAAUUAAUCACUAUUUUAAGCCUAGAGAUAUACAGGGUUGUUUCAGUUUCCUCAAAAAGCUAGAAUUGGUGUUGAUUAAAUGGUAAGUGACCAGAAAUGUCUCGUAUUCACUGCAAACUACAUGGUUUCUUACUCAGUUGGUCUUAGCUUGAUUGUUAAAGUAAGGCUUGCUCAUACUGGCCACCAGACUGUUCCGGAACAGACAAAAGAAACCUAGCCUAAGUCCCACCAUCUUGUUUCAGACUCCAUUUUAAUCAUAAGAGGAAGUUCAAGUUCCCAGGCCCUAGGGAAGCUGGGGACAAGAUCCCUGGAGGCUCAGGCCCCCAGGGUCUCAGCCCAGGACUGCAGCCACCCCAAUUGCCAGGCAGAAGGGGAAACUUGAUGCAAAUAGCAAGAGGUUUUAUUGUAGUUGUUUAACGAGCUAACCCCAUGUAAGCUCGGGCCUUUCAUCCAUCCACCAUGGCAGAUGGCUGGGAAAGACACCGAGAAGCCACGGCAUAGAGAUCUUAAAGGGCAGAGUAAGGGGAGUGUCUAGGAGUAUGCACAGGCUCAGGAUUGGUGUGCCUCCAGGCUUGGAGGGCCUGCCCUGUGUUGAUUGGUCAACUGGUUGUUAUGGCCCAUAGGCCCUCCCAGGGCAGUUGCUAUGCUCUGAGCGUCAUUGCUGUGCACUUGUCCGUAAAGCACACCCAGAGCCGUAAAGCAUAGCACCACCAGCUAACUUCUGAUUGGUUCCUUGCCAUGAGGCAGGCAUCUGACCUCCUAGUGACCAAGGCAAGGUCAGCCACAUUAGCCUGGUAUGGCUGCCAAAAUGGGGAGCUGGUCCUUUCAGGGACUUUCUAGUAUCUGACCAGCUUCCUCAUUAAACAAUAAUAGCCUGCAAAACUGCUUGCUAUUCUUCAGUUCCU